CCUUCGGGUUGUAAAGCACUUUGUCAGGGAAGAAAGGAACGGUCCGAAUAAGGCGGUCUGAUGACGGUACCUGAAGAAUAAGCACCGGCUAACUACGUGC
rnacentral:rRNA from 1 species